rnacentral:rRNA from 1 species
GAUGAACGCUGGCGGCGUGCCUAAUACAUGCAAGUCGAGCGAACAGACGAGGAGCUUGCUCCUCUGACGUUAGCGGCGGACGGGUGAGUAACACGUGGAUAACCUACCUAUAAGACUGGGAUAACUUCGGGAAACCGGAGCUAAUACCGGAUAAUAUAUUGAACCGCAUGGUUCAAUAGUGAAAGACGGUUUUGCUGUCUCUUAUAGAUGGAUCCGCGCCGCAUUAGCUAGUUGGUAAGGUAACGGCUUACCAAGGCAACGAUGCGUAGCCGACCUGAGAGGGUGAUAGGCCACACUGGAACUGAGACGGGGUCCAGACUCCUACGGGAGGCAGCAGUAGGGAACCUGACGCAAUGGGCGAAAGCUUGACGGAGCAACGCCGCGUGAGUGAUGAAGGUCUUCGGAGCGUAAUACUCUGUUAUUAGGGAAGAACAAAUGUGUAAGUAACUAUGCACGUCUUGACGGUACCUAAUCAGAAAGCCACGGCUAACUACGUG